rnacentral:rRNA from 1 species
GUAGGUGGCAAGCGUUGUCCGGAAUUAUUGGGCGUAAAGCGCGCGCAGGUGGUUCUUUAAGUCUGAUGUGAAAGCCCCCGGGCUCAACCGGGGAGGGUCAUUGGAAACUGGGGAACUUGAGUGCAGGAGAGGAAAGUGGAAUUCCACGUGUAGCGGUGAAAUGCGUAGAUAUGUGGAGGAACACCAGUGGCGAAGGCGACUUUCUGGCCUGUAACUGACACUGAGGCGCGAAAGCGUGGGGAGCAAACAGGAUUAGAUACCCUGGUAGUCCACGCCGUAAACGAUGAGUGCUACGUGUUGGGGGGUUUCCGCCCCUCAGUGCUGCAGCUAACGCAUUAAGCACUCCGCCUGGGGAGUACGGUCGCAAAGACUG